AUUGAACGCUGGCGGCAUGCCUUACACAUGCAAGUCGAACGGUAACAGGUUAAGCUGACGAGUGGCGAACGGGUGAGUAAUGUAUCGGAACGUGCCCAGUCGUGGGGGAUAACUGCUCGAAAGAGCAGCUGAUACCGCAUACGACCUGAGGGUGAAAGCGGGGGAUCGCAAGACCUCGCGCGAUUGGAGCGGCCGAUAUCAGAUUAGGUAGUUGGUGAGGUAAAGGCUCACCAAGCCGACGAUCUGUAGCUGGUCUGAGAGGACGACCAGCCACACUGGGACUGAGACACGGCCCAGACUCCUACGGGAGGCAGCAGUGGGGAAUUUUGGACAAUGGGCGCAAGCCUGAUCCAGCCAUGCCGCGUGCGGGAAGAAGGCCUUCGGGUUGUAAACCGCUUUUGUCAGGGAAGAAAAGGUUCUGGCUAAUACCUGGGACUCAUGACGGUACCUGAAGAAUAAGCACCGGCUAACUACGUG
rnacentral:rRNA from 1 species